CCUACGGGGGGCAGCAGUGGGGAAUAUUGCACAAUGGGCGCAAGCCUGAUGCAGCCAUGCCGCGUGUGUGAAGAAGGCCUUCGGGUUAUAAAGCACUUUCAGCGGGGAGGAAGGCGGUGAGGUUAAUAACCUCAUCGAUUGACGGUACCCGCAGAAGAAGCACCGGCUAACUCCGUGCCAGCAGCCGCGGUAAUACGGAGGGUGCAAGCGUUAAUCGGAAUUACUGGGCGUAAAGCGCACGCAGGCGGUCUGUCAAGUCGGAUGUGAAAUCCCCGGGCUCAACCUGGGAACUGCAUUCGAAACUGGCAGGCUAGAGUCUUGUAGAGGGGGGUAGAAUUCCAGGUGUAGCGGUGAAAUGCGUAGAGAUCUGGAGGAAUACCGGUGGCGAAGGCGGCCCCCUGGACAAAGACUGACGCUCAGGUGCGAAAGCGUGGGGAGCAAACAGGAUUAGAUACCCGGGUAGUC
rnacentral:rRNA from 1 species